rnacentral:rRNA from 1 species
UACGUAGGGUGCGAGCGUUAAUCGGAAUUACUGGGCGUAAAGCGUGCGCAGGCGGUCUGUUAAGACCGAUGUGAAAUCCCCGGGCUUAACCUGGGAACUGCAUUGGUGACUGGCAGGCUUUGAGUGUGGCAGAGGGAGGUAGAAUUCCACGUGUAGCAGUGAAAUGCGUAGAGAUGUGGAGGAAUACCGAUGGCGAAGGCAGCCUCCUGGGCCAACACUGACGCUCAUGCACCAAAGCGUGGGGAGCAAACAGG